rnacentral:snRNA from 1 species
AAAAAAUUUUUUUAAAUAAAAUUGGAAUGAUACAAAGAAGAUUAGAAUGGCCCCUGCGCAAGGAUGACAUACAAAUUCAGGAACCAUUCCAUAUUUUU